rnacentral:rRNA from 1 species
CCUACGGGAGGCAGCAGUGGGGAAUAUUGCACAAUGGGGGAAACCCUGAUGCAGCGACGCCGCGUGAGUGAAGAAGUAUUUCGGUAUGUAAAGCUCUAUCAGCAGGGCAGAAAAUGACGGUACCUGAUUAAGAAGCCCCGUCUAACUACGUGCCCGCAGGCGCGGGAAUACGUAGGGGGCCAGCGUUAUCCGGAUUUACUGGGUGUAAAGGGAGCGGAGACGGCAGCACAAGUCUGGAGUGAAAUGCCGGGGCUUAACCCCGGAACUGCUUUGGAAACUGUGCAGCUAGAGUGCAGGAGAGGUAAGUGGAAUUCCUAGUGUAGCGGUGAAAUGCGUAGAUAUUAGGAGGAACACCAGUGGCGAAGGCGGCUUACUGGACUGUAACUGACGUUGAGGCUCGAAAGCGUGGGGAGCAAACAGGAUUAGAUACCCGGGUAGUC